UGUUUCUCAGGAGCAGGGAAAUUAGCAGUUGCUACAACAAUCACUGUUGUUCUCCUGGUUAUCAUUUCCCUCUGUCUCUUCCUGUGGAUCAGGAAAAAGAGGGCUUCCAAGGAAUCGUCUGAGCCUGAAGAGAGACCAGACAACAGGGAACAGUUUCUACCUGAACAGCCAGAGGAGCAGGAUAACCUUCAGUAUGCCAGCGUUCACUUCACCAACAACCAGGCAGAUCCUCUCUACUCCAACAUCAGACCAGCUCGCUCCCUCAGACACACGGAGCAGCAAGAUUUCAUGGAG